GUUGUGGCUCAGUGGCAGAGCACUUGCCUAGCACAUGCAAAGCUCUGAGUUCAAUCCUCAGAACGACA
rnacentral:tRNA from 1 species